AGAGUUUGAUCAUGGCUCAGGAUGAACGCUGGCGGCGUGCCUAACACGUGCAAGUCGAGCGAUCUUCUUCGGAAGAGAGCGGCGGACGGGUGAGUAACGCGUGGAUAACCUGCCUCAUACACAUGGAUAACAUACCGAAAGGUAUGCUAAUACAAGAUGAUAUAAGAGAUUCGCAUGGAUUUCUUAUCAAAGCUCCGGCGGUAUGAGAUGGACCCGCGUCUGAUUAGCUAGUUGGUAAGGUAACGGCUUACCAAGGCGACGAUCAGUAGCCGACCUGAGAGGGUGAUCGGCCACAUUGGAACUGAGACACGGUCCAAACUCCUACGGGAGGCAGCAGUGGGGAAUAUUGCACAAUGGGCGAAAGCCUGAUGCAGCAACGCCGCGUGAGCGAUGAAGGCCUUCGGGUCGUAAAGCUCUGUCCUCAAGGAAGAUAAUGACGGUACUUGAGGAGGAAGCCCCGGCUAACUACGUGCCAGCAGCCGCGGUAAUACGUAGGGGGCUGGCGUUAUCCGGAUUUACUGGGCGUAAAGGGUGCGUAGGUGGUUUCUUAAGUCAGGAGUGAAAGGCUACGGCUCAACCGUAGUAAGCUCUUGAAACUGGGAAACUUGAGUGCAGGAGAGGAAAGUGGAAUUCCUAGUGUAGCGGUGAAAUGCGUAGAUAUUAGGAGGAACACCAGUAGCGAAGGCGGCUUUCUGGACUGUAACUGACACUGAGGCACGAAAGCGUGGGGAGCAAACAGGGUUAGAUACCCUGGUAGUCCACGCCGUAAACGAUGAGUACUAGGUGUCGGGGGUUACCCCCCUCGGUGCCGCAGCUAACGCAUUAAGUACUCCGCCUGGGGAGUACGCUCGCAAGAGUGAAACUCAAAGGAAUUGACGG
rnacentral:rRNA from 1 species